CAGGCCAGAAGAGGCGCGUUGCCCAGAUAAUCGUAUCCGAGGAACCAGUACUGUGAAGAUACGUGAGGGGGAGCAACGCCGAGAUGAUGGAGCGUCUGGUCACGCUUAUUGUCGGCUGCAGGGGCUGAAUCCUCUGGGUUGUCACCAGGAACGUUCGCAGUCGAGCGUUUCAUAUUCGGCGCAGUCAGCCGGAUAGACAAGGUGGAGCACUUCUGGGUGA
rfam:Cedecea davisae DSM 4568 genomic scaffold Scaffold0, whole genome shotgun sequence.